AUCAGAAGUGCGAAUGCUGACAUAAGUAACGAUAAAGCGGGUGAAAAGCCCGCUCGCCGGAAGACCAAGGGUUCCUGUCCAACGUUAAUCGGGGCAGGGUGAGUCGACCCCUAAGGCGAGGCCGAAAGGCGUAGUCGAUGGGAAACAGGUUAAUAUUCCUGUACUUGGUGUUACUGCGAAGGGGGGACGGAGAAGGCUAUGUUAGCCGGGCGACGGUUGUCCCGGUUUAAGCAUGUAGGCUGGUUAUCCAGGCAAAUCCGGAUAAUCAAGGCUGAGGUGUGAUGACGAGGCACUACGGUGCUGAAGUAACAAAUGCCCUGCUUCCAGGAAAAGCCUCUAAGCAUCAGGUAACAUCAAAUCGUACCCCAAACCGACACAGGUGGUCAGGUAGAGAAUACCAAGGCGCUUGAGAGAACUCGGGUGAAGGAACUAGGCAAAAUGGUGCCGUAACUUCGGGAGAAGGCACGCUGGUGUGUAGGUGAAGUCCCUGCGGAUGGAGCUGAGACCAGUCGAAGAUACCAGCUGGCUGCAACUGUUUAUUAAAAACACAGCACUGUGCAAACACGAAAGUGGACGUAUACGGUGUGACGCCUGCCCGGUGCCGGAAGGUUAAUUGAUGGGGUUAUCCGUAAGGAGAAGCUCUUGAUCGAAGCCCCGGUAAACGGCGGCCGUAACUAUAACGGUCCUAAGGUAGCGAAAUUCCUUGUCGGGUAAGUUCCGACCUGCACGAAUGGCGUAAUGAUGGCCAGGCUGUCUCCACCCGAGACUCAGUGAAAUUGAACUCGCUGUGAAGAUGCAGUGUACCCGCGGCAAGACGGAAAGACCCCGUGAACCUUUACUAUAGCUUGACACUGAACAUUGAGCCUUGAUGUGUAGGAUAGGUGGGAGGCUUUGAAGCGUGGACGCCAGUCUGCGUGGAGCCAACCUUGAAAUACCACCCUUUAAUGUUUGAUGUUCUAACGUUGGCCCCUGACCGGGGUUGCGGACAGUGUCUGGUGGGUAGUUUGACUGGGGCGGUCUCCUCCCAAAGCGUAACGGAGGAGCACGAAGGUUAGCUAAUCCUGGUCGGACAUCAGGAGGUUAGUGCAAUGGCAUAAGCUAGCUUGACUGCGAGCGUGACGGCGCGAGCAGGUGCGAAAGCAGGUCAUAGUGAUCCGGUGGUUCUGAAUGGAAGGGCCAUCGCUCAACGGAUAAAAGGUACUCCGGGGAUAACAGGCUGAUACCGCCCAAGAGUUCAUAUCGACGGCGGUGUUUGGCACCUCGAUGUCGGCUCAUCACAUCCUGGGGCUGAAGUAGGUCCCAAGGGUAUGGCUGUUCGCCAUUUAAAGUGGUACGCGAGCUGGGUUUAGAACGUCGUGAGACAGUUCGGUCCCUAUCUGCCGUGGGCGCUGGAGAAUUGAGGGGGGCUGCUCCUAGUACGAGAGGACCGGAGUGGACGCAUCACUGGUGUUCGGGUUGUCAUGCCAAUGGCACUGCCCGGUAGCUAAAUGCGGAAGAGAUAAGUGCUGAAAGCAUCUAAGCACGAAACUUGCCCCGAGAUGAGUUCUCCCUGAGACUAUAAGUCUCCUGAAGGAACGUUAAAGACGAUGACGUUGAUAGGCCGGGUGUGUAAGCGCAGCGAUGCGUUGAGCUAACCGGUACUAAUGAACCGUGAGGCUUAACCUU
rnacentral:rRNA from 1 species